AAGAGGAUGGAGGGAAGCGGCGGGGCCGGGCUGCGCUGGAAGCGGAAUCCCGGGAACAGGAGCGGGAGCAGAAAUCCCCGCCCCGUCACGGGCUCUGCGGCUGGCCUUUAGCAGCGCUUCUCUCUUUGCUUGCGUUUUCUUUUUUUGUAGGUUAUACCAAGUGGCAAUGGCAAGAUUAAAAGUUAGAGGAGAUACUCUGAUUUAUGGAGAUACACAACACUGGUCCUCCAAACACUGCAGAAUGUGUGAGAGUGGAAGAGAGAGUCCUGUGUCCAGGCCAUGGACUCCUUUUUGGGAAACUCCUCCAUGUUUCCCAAAGGCUGAUGUGUUCUUCUGUUGCAAUCCAGUGUGGAAGAAGCCGGGUUCCUUCUUUGCUUCCUAAAACAUGGUGAAGAAUUACAGUGUGCUAAAGAAGAGUAACUAUGCAGUAUCCUCAUAAUGCUGGUAAAGUUCCAGGUUUUAAAUUGG